ACCAAUUUAUAUAUUGCUUAUAUUUGGUUAUGUUGCCAUCACAAUGGAAGGCUCGAGGCAUGGGGCAUGUGAAUUUGGUCCAUCUCUUUGCCAAGUUGGUACAUGAUGUGUCGUCGUAGCUAAGUACUCGAAUUUGUUCUGAAACAUGUUUGAUAUCUAAUCUGUGAAAUAGCUUAUAACGUUAUCUUAUUUCUACAAAUUUUGAGCUCUAAUCUUGUUCAGAAUUUGUUCAAACUCUACUCUUGAAGGUUAUACAAAUGCAGACUGGUGAGUCGAAUAUUGAAAUCGAAUCCGACAAAACCCGAGCCCGUACCUCAGGGUCGAAUAAAGAUCUGUUAGAUUUGAAUUCCGGCCCAACGGGCGAAGAAGAUCGAGCGAACGCACCUUGGUCUCCAGAAGCCCCGUCGAAGCUGUCGCCGCCGACGAGAGGGCCGCUUUCGCAGCUCCUCCUCCUCAUCUACGUGAUCUUUUCUUCGUUGCUGCUCUCGUCUUCUUUGGAGUAUGUCGCCGGAACCGGAGGCGACGCGAGCACCAGCAGGAGCUCCGGUGCGAGAUUGGAAUGGAAAUUCCUUACCAAGAGAAAUUUCUCCUCUUAGAUCCGUCUCCAUCGCCAGAUCCUCCUCAUGGUUACCGUCCCUUGUACGCCGCUUCCCUUUCUUGAUUAUCCCUUUUCUCUUGACGCUCGCGUCUUGCUAGAUCGAUCAAGAAUAUGGAUUUUAGGUGAAUCACGAGGUCCAUACCAAUCUUGAUUACUGCUUGGAAUUCUGUUCACAUGAAUCAUUUUAUCGAAAGGGAAGCAGAGAGGGCUUUACCAAUGUGAAAUGUAAUUGGUUAGUUGGUUGUAGACAGGCAGUUAAGAUACAUCCUUGUGCUUUCUUUGGUCGGUCUCAGCAAUUCUGCUCCAACAGAGCAACGAGUUUGACUUAUGUUGGUGAGACUAAAACUUAUCUGGUAAGAAUAAUCUUAAUAGUCAUCUGCCCUUUCUUCUUUAGUAGUAGACGUUGAGAUAAACAAUUAAAAUUCAAUAGAUGAAAAUUCCUUUUAAAAUGGGAUGAAAGUUAUUUAUGUGGUUCUACCUUGAUAAGAAUAUAUGUGAGCAGAAAUGUAUGUUGUGAUUUCAUAGCAGUGAACCUUAUGAGCAAAUUUCAUUUUAUUUUCUCUUUGGCAAGGGUUUCUUUUUUUUUUUAAGAGUAAGCGACAAAGGUGGUAUUUGAGUCCAAGACCUUACGAUAAACUAUCAAUGUCUUUACCAGCUAAGCUAGUCUUUGGCUAGGUUAAUGUCGAUAAGAAGAUUAGUAUUUAUAUUCUUUGGUAUCAGAGCUUGUCUACUUUUGGCCCCUCUUAUCAAAUUUAACAUGUUGCUUUUUGCCUAAACUGAGACUUCAUAGGAUCUCUGGCUCUUGAUGUCCUAAUACCUUCUUCUUUAAGCCUUUCCUCUUGAACAGUGUGUGUGAAUGUGCAUGCCUCGUGUGACCAUGUGUAUGUAUGUGUAUGUGUCUAUGAAUGUAUGAUGUGCACUUGAUACCAUUCAUUUCCUAUUUUGCAAAUUGUUUCAAUAUGACAUGCGGUGAUUAAUGGUUGGUAAAUUUAUUAAGUGUGCUUCAUGUUAACAUUGCUUAAAUUAAUGAUAAUUUUAUCUCCAUGAAAUUACUGAUUCUCAUUGUUGCAACUGUGUGACUUCCUGUUCAUCAUUGUUUUCAAAUCGCUUAAACAUUACUUAAACAUUGAGGAAAUCUUCAAUUUUUGUCUUGUGGUUGAUCUUUUGGUUUCUAAUCGCGUGAAUGUUGUUUUGUUUGAGCGGCUCUUCCACGGUUCCCUAGUUGAACGAAUAUUUAGAAUACAUAUUCUUAGAGCUCUUGAUGAGGACACUUGGAUAUGACAAUCCAAUCCCCUAGGCUUGUUGUCUACUAUUGAUUUCUAUCGGUAUAUCAAAUCAGAUUCUAAGGAGGAGGUUUGGCAGGGCUAGAAGGCGAUAUGGCUCCUUCCUAUCUCCCGUAAAGGUAAAACUCUUUCUAUGGAAACUCUCCUGGAACCGAUUACCCAUCUCUGACCUCUUUGCACAUAUUCUACGCCACCAGCAAGAUAAUUGCUUUGUAUGUCACCUUUCGGUAGAUACCUCCCCACAUAUUCUCCUACAAUGUUCUUCAGCCCUCUCUUUUUGGAAUCUGCUCCAGGCCAAAGUGAAAUUUGUUUCAAGUUCUUUGACACAUGGGCUUAUCUUGGCUUCACGAGGGAGAUGGUCCUGACAAAUAAAUCUCUAGAACGAUCUUAAGUCUCAUUUCCUAUUCUUUUUGUUGUCUUUGGCUCAAUAGAAAUGAGGUCAGAUUCCAUAACUGUCAUGCCAAACCUCCUACCAUAGUCUCCAGGGUGAUUGCCCUCACCAAUGAAAUCGCUGAAUCAUGUCCUUCGCCUGAGAAAACUAGGAAUAUAUGCACUAUGUACCCUCAACCAGGUAAUGGGAUCUACGGCUACAUAUUACAAUGUGAUAAAUCUUUUACUUCACUUCGAAUUUUCUGCAGGAACCAGAUUUAUCUUCCUCUUUGCUGCAAACUCAUCGCUAGCUGUGGGCUGAUCGAAUCCCCUAAUGGCAGAGGCUCUCGUUGUCCUGGAGGCGCUGAAACACACAGAGGCACUGCAGUGGCACCACCCCUGGAUCCAAACUGACUCCCAAUCACUAAUAUCUAUUGUUAACAGUGCCAAGGAAAUCCCUUGGUUCCUUUCUGUCAUUAUUUCUGAUGUAACGUUAUUUAUGGCCAAACUUCACAUCA